rnacentral:rRNA from 1 species
CCUACGGGUGGCAGCAGUGGGGAAUAUUGCACAAUGGGGGAAACCCUGAUGCAGCGACGCCGCGUGAGUGAAGAAGUAAUUCGUUACGUAAAGCUCUAUCAGCAGGGAAGAAAAUGACGGUACCUGAGUAAGAAGCCCCGGCUAACUACGUGCCAGCAGCCGCGGUAAUACGUAGGGGGCAAGCGUUAUCCGGAUUUACUGGGUGUAAAGGGAGCGUAGACGGUUGGGCAAGUCUGGAGUGAAAGGCGGGGGCUUAACUCCGGAACUGCUUUGGAAACUGUGGAACUAGAGUGCAGGAGAGGUAAGUGGAAUUCCUAGUGUAGCGGUGAAAUGCGUAGAUAUUAGGAGGAACACCAGUGGCGAAGGCGGCUUACUGGACUGUAACUGACGUUGAGGCUCGAAAGCGUGGGGAGCAAACAGGAUUAGAUACCCUAGUAGUC